AUUGAACGCUGGCGGCAUGCCUUACACAUGCAAGUCGAACGGCAGCGGACCUUCGGGUGCCGGCGAGUGGCGAACGGGUGAGUAAUGCAUCGGAACGUACCUUUCAGUGGGGGAUAACGUAGCGAAAGUUACGCUAAUACCGCAUAGUCUGUGAGCAGGAAAGCAGGGGAUCGCAAGACCUUGUGCUGAUUGAGCGGCCGAUGUCAGAUUAGCGAGUUGUUGAGGUAAAGGCUCACCAAGGCGACGAUCUGCAGCGGGUCUGAGAGGAUGAUCCGCCACACUGGGACUGAGACACGGCCCAGACUCCUACGGGAGGCAGCAGUGGGGAAUUUUGGACAAUGGGGGCAACCCUGAUCCAGCCACGCCGCGUGAGUGAAGAAGGCCUUCGGGUUGUAAAGCUCUUUCGGCCGGGAAGAAAUCGCACAGGCUAAUACCUUGUGUGGAUGACGGUACCGGAAUAAGAAGCACCGGCUAACUACGUGCCAGCCGCCGCCGUAAAAC
rnacentral:rRNA from 1 species